GACGAACGCUGGCGGCGUGCUUAACACAUGCAAGUCGAACGGAAAGGCCCUGCUUUUGUGGGGUGCUCGAGUGGCGAACGGGUGAGUAACAAGUGAGUAACCUGCCCUUGACUUUGGGGUAACUUCAGGAAACUGGGGCUAAUACCGGAUAGGAGCUCCUGCUGCAUGGUGGGGGUUGGAAAGGUUCGGCGGUUGGGGAUGGACUCGCGUCUUAUCAGCUUGUUGGUGGGGUAGUGGAUUACCAAGGCGUUGACGGGUAGCCGGCCUGGGAGGGUGACCGGCCCCAUUGGGCCUGAGAUGCGGCCCAGACUCCAACUGGCGGCAGCGGUGGAGAAUAUUGCACAAUGGGCGGGAGCCUGAUGCAGCGCCGCCGCGUGCGGGAGGACGGCCUUCGGGUUGGAAACCGCUUUCGCCUGUGACGAAGCGUGAGUGACGGUACUGGGUAAAGAAGCACCGGCUAACUACGUG
rnacentral:rRNA from 1 species